rnacentral:lncRNA from 1 species
CAGUAGAAAACGGAUGAACACACCUAGAUUUCUUCCCGCGUGAAUCCAGUUGGGUCUCGCUUUGUCACCUAGCAGUGUAGUGGUGUAAUCACAGCUCACUGCAGCCUCGACUUCCUGGGCGCAAGGAAUCUUCCAGCCUCAGCCACCCAAGUAGCUGAGACUACAAAUACAGAUAAGCUGAUUCUAAAACCUACAAGAAUGGCAAAGAAACAAGAAGAGCUUAAACUGCAAUCAUCAACAGAGAAGCCUUCUGCAACCAAAGUGAAGACUGAAGCCCUAGGCUAUGGCAGAAGUUGGGCGCCUGAAGUACACAUGGAAAUAUGCCAACUGAACAUUGGACUAUCAC